AACGAACGCUGGCGGCAGGCCUAACACAUGCAAGUCGAACGCACCGCAAGGUGAGUGGCGCACGGGUGAGUAACACGUGGGAAUGUACCCUUUGGUUCGGAAUAACGUCUGGAAACGGACGCUAAUACCGGAUGAGCCCUACGGGGGAAAGAUUUAGCGCCAAAGGAGCAGCCCGCGUCUGAUUAGGUAGUUGGUGGGGUAAAGGCCUACCAAGCCGACGAUCAGUAGCUGGUCUGAGAGGAUGAUCAGCCACACUGGGACUGAGACACGGCCCAGACUCCUACGGGAGGCAGCAGUGGGGAAUAUUGGACAAUGGGCGGAAGCCUGAUCCAGCCAUGCCGCGUGAGUGAUGAAGGCCUUCGGGUUGUAAAGCUCUUUCGCACGCGACGAUGAUGACGGUAGCGUGAGAAGAAGCCCCGGCUAACUUCGUGCCAGCAGCCGCCGUAAGAC
rnacentral:rRNA from 1 species